UGGGGUGACGUAGAACGGUCCUACACUUCGCUGUAAACGAAGCGUCUCUGACAGAGUGGGUUCGACUCCCUCCAUCCCAA
rnacentral:tRNA from 1 species